rnacentral:rRNA from 1 species
CACGUAGGGCGCAAGCGUUGUCCGGAAUUAUUGGGCGUAAAGAGCUCGUAGGCGGUCUGUUACGUCUGCUGUGAAAACCCAGGGCUCAACCCUGGGCCUGCAUCCGAUACUGGCGGGCUCGAGGCAGGUAGGGGAGAGCGGAAUUCCCGGUGUAGCGGUGAAAUGCGCAGAUAUCGGGAGGAACACCGGUGGCGAAGGCGGGUCUCUGGGCCGAAAUUGACGCUGAGGAGCGAAAGCG